UAGGAUUUCCUUAGUAGCUGCGAGCGAACAGGAAAAAGCCCAGCACUGAAUCCCGCGGCCAUUUAGGACGCUGGGAAAUGUAGUGUUAGGGAGGAUCCAAUUAUCCCGAGUUUGUGCGGUGCGUCCAAGUCCUUCUUGAACGGGGCCAUAACCCAUAGAGGGUGCCAGGCCCGUAGUGACUGCUGCCAAAUUCGGGAGGAUCUCUCCUCAGAGUCGGGUUGCUUGAGAGUGCAGCCCUAAGUGGGUGGUAAACUCCAUCUAAGGCUAAAUAUAACCACGAGACCGAUAGCGAACAAGUACCGUGAGGGAAAGUUGAAAAGCACUUUGAAGAGAGAGUUCAAUAGUACGUGAAACCGUUCAGGGGUAAACCUGAGAAACCCGAAAGUUCGAAAGAGAAAAUUCAUCGUGUUUCGGGCUAAUGUUAAUUUGUGGAGUGACAAAUGGUGUUAAAGCCGUUCUGCGCCUGCUUUUUAUCAAAUAAGACCGAAUGCGUGCACUUUUUCUCUAGUAGGACGUUGCGAUCCGUUGAGUGUAGACUUAAGGCCCGCAUAGGAGCCCAUUCGGUUUGACUUCGGUCACUCAGUUUGGACUAGUGGUGUCCCGGUCUACUCGCUCGACGGUAUAUAGAUGGCAUAGAGCCGCAUUUUUGCGUUCAGCCUAUGGCAAGCACUUUCCUGCGUUGGCAGUCGGACCUAGCGCCGGCUCUGACCUGGCAAGACUGUUGGCUAUAGUGUUCUUGAACCGACUCUAUUUGUUUUUGCCGAUCUGCGACGCUUUAGCUUUGGGUACUUUCAGGACCCGUCUUGAAACACGGACCAAGGAGUCUAGCAUGUGCGCGAGUCAUUGGGUAAUACAAAACCUAAAGGCGAAAUUAAUGUAAAGGUUUGCCUUUGUGCAGACUCAGGGAAGAUGGGUGGUUCACAUUAACUGUGGCUGCUCCGCACUCCCGGGGCGUCUCAUUCUCAUUACGAGAAGAGGCGCACCAAGAGCGUACACGCUGGGACCCGAAAGAUGGUGAACUAUGCCUGGUCAGGACGAAGUCAGGGGAAACCCUGAUGGAGGUCCGUAGCGAUUCUGACGUGCAAAUCGAUCGUCGGAACUGGGUAUAGGGGCGAAAGACUUAUCGAACCAUCUAGUAGCUGGUUCCCUCCGAAGUUUCCCUCAGGAUAGCUGGCGCUCGUUGAUACGAGUCUCAUCUGGUAAAGCGAAUGAUUAGAGGCAUUGGGGUCGAAACGACCUCAACCUAUUCUCAAACUUUAAAUGGGUGAGAUCUUCGGCUUGCUUAAAUUUAUUUAUGAAGCCGCAAGAUACGGAUCAGAG
rnacentral:rRNA from 1 species